CCUACGGGAGGCAGCAGUGAGGAAUAUUGGUCAAUGGACGAGAGUCUGAACCAGCCAAGUAGCGUGAAGGAUGACUGCCCUAUGGUUUGUAAACUUCUUUUAUAUGGGAAUAAAAUGUUCCACGUGUGGGAUUUUGUAUGUACCAUAUGACUCAGGAUCGGCUAACUCCGUGACAGCAGCCGCGGUAAUACGGAGGAUCCGAGCGUUAUCCGGAUUGAUUGGGUUUAAAGUGAGCGUAGGUGGAUUGUUAAGUCAGUUGUGAAAGUUUGCGGCUCAACCGUAAAAUUGCAGUUGAAACUGGCAGUCUUGAGUACAGUAGAGGUGGGCGGAAUUCGUGGUGUAGCGGUGAAAUGCUUAGAUAUAACGAAGAACUCCGAUUGCGAAGGCAGCUCACUGGACUGCAACUGACACUGAGGCUCGAAAGUGUGAGUAUCAAACAGGAUUAGAUACCCUGGUAGUC
rnacentral:rRNA from 1 species